UACGUAGGCAGCAAGCGUUGUUCGGAGUUACUGGGCGUAAAGGGCGCGUAGGCGGCUAGAUGUGUCAAAGGUGAAAUCCCUCGGCUCAACUGAGGAACUGCCUUUGAAACUGUCUGGCUUGAGGCCGGGAGAGGGUAGCGGAAUUCCCAGUGUAGCGGUGAAAUGCGUAGAUAUUGGGAGGAACACCAGUGGCGAAGGCGGCUACCUGGACCGGUUCUGACGCUGAGGCGCGAAAGCGUGGGUAGCAAACAGG
rnacentral:rRNA from 1 species